GCCUUCGGCCUCCCCUUCUCGGUGACAGGAUUUUGCCGCGAAUAGGCCCCGACCAGGAGUUGCGGGAGGCCGUCGCUGAUAACGUUUCUUGAUAAGAAUAUGCCAUAUUUCAAGAACUCGGAAAAGAGGUGAAAGAGCGCAUUUCUACUUUGUGUCAAGCCUGAAAGCAAGUGGACUGACAGACCAAUUAAAUCACAGAAGGUGACCUGUUGAGAAAAGUGAUACGAAUACUGGAAAAAACUUGAUCUUCUGACUGACUGGGAGAUAAUGUCGCAAGAUAAAACCUCUUAUUCCUUUGAUGCUCCUACGGACUUCAUCAAUUUUACAUCUUUGGAUUAUGAGGAAGAUUC